rnacentral:miRNA from 14 species
ACCUGUGAAGUUCAGUUCUUUAG